AACGAACGCUGGCGGCAUGCCUAACACAUGCAAGUCGAACGAGACCUCCGGGUCUAGUGGCGCACGGGUGCGUAACGCGUGGGAACCUGCCCUUAUGCUUGGAAUAACACCCUGACAGGGGUGCUAACACCGGAUAAUGUCCUCGGACCAAAGAUUUAUCGCCCUUGGAUGGGCCCGCGUUGGAUUAGCUUGUGGGUAGGGGAAAAGCCUAUCAAGGCGACGCUCCAUAGCUGGUUUGAGAGGAUGAUCAGCCACACUGGGACUAGGACACGGCCCAGACUCCUACGGGAGGGAGCAAUGGGGAAUACUGCAACAUGGGCUGAGGCAUGAACCAGCAAGGCCGCGUGAGUGAUGAAGGCGUUAGAGUAGUACAGCUCUUUUACCCGGGAUGGUAAUGACGGUACCGGGAGAAUAAGCACCGGCUAACUCCGUG
rnacentral:rRNA from 1 species